GAUGAACGCUGGCGGCGUGCCUAAUACAUGCAAGUCGAGCGAACAGACGAGGAGCUUGCUCCUCUAACGUUAGCGGCGGACGGGUGAGUAACACGUGGAUAACCUACCUAUAAGACUGGGAUAACUUCGGGAAACCGGAGCUAAUACCGGAUAAUAUAUUGAACCGCAUGGUUCAAUAGUGAAAGACGGUUUUGCUGUCACUUAUAGAUGGAUCCGCGCCGCAUUAGCUAGUUGGUAAGGUAACAGCUUACCAAAGCAACGAUGCGUAGCCGACCUGAGAGGGUGAUCGGCCACACUGGAACUGAGACACGGUCCAGACUCCUACGGGAGGCAGCAGUAGGGAAUCUUCCGCAAUGGGCGAAAGCCUGACGGAGCAACGCCGCGUGAGUGAUGAAGGUCUUCGGAUCGUAAAACUCUGUUAUUAGGGAAGAACAAAUGUGUAAGUAACUAUGCACGUCUUGACGGUACCUAAUCAGAAAGCCACGGCUAACUACGUG
rnacentral:rRNA from 1 species